AUUAUGUGGCUAUAACACUCAAGUGAUUUGUUUUAUAUUGUGGGCUUUUUGUAAACUGUUGGGGAUCAUCUAUUUGUUGUAAAAUCUGGAGUAACAUUGUUAAAAUGUAGUUACACUCAGAGUUGUCAAAUAUAGGGAACCUCAUGGAUGCAAA